rnacentral:tRNA from 1 species
AUGGCGGUGAUGCCGUUGGCGGAAUGUGCGCCGUUGUUGUUGGCGCCGGAGAGGAUUGCGCCGACGUUCGACACGUUGCUGUGAUA